UCCCUGGUGGUCUAGUGGCUAAGACUCUGCUCUCCCAAUGAAGGGGGCCUGGGUUCAAUUCCUGGUCAGGAAA
rfam:TPA: Bos taurus chromosome 10, whole genome shotgun sequence.